rnacentral:rRNA from 1 species
UACGUAGGGUGCGAGCGUUAAUCGGAAUUACUGGGCGUAAAGCGUGCGCAGGCGGUUAUUUAAGUCAGGUGUGAAAGCCCUGGGCUUAACCUAGGAAUUGCGCUUGAGACUGGAUAGCUUGGAGUGCGGCAGAGGGAGGUGGAAUUCCACGUGUAGCAGUGAAAUGCGUAGAUAUCAGGAGGAAUACCGAUGGCGAAGGCAGGUCUCUGGGCUAACACUGACGCUCAUGCACGAAAGCGUGGGGAGCAAACAGG